rnacentral:rRNA from 1 species
CCUACGGGAGGCAGCAGUGGGGAAUAUUGGACAAUGGGCGAAAGCCUGAUCCAGCAAUGCCGCGUGUGUGAAGAAGGCCUUCGGGUUGUAAAGCACUUUAGUCAGGGAAGAAAAAGCUCAAGCUAAUAUCUUGAGUGUUGACGGUACCUGAAGAAUAAGCACCGGCUAACUCUGUGCCAGCAGCCGCGGUAAUACAGAGGGUGCAAGCGUUAAUCGGAUUUACUGGGCGUAAAGCGUGUGUAGGUGGCUGUUCAAGUCGGUUGUGAAAUCCCCGGGCUCAACCUGGGAAUUGCUUCCGAGACUGAGCGGCUAGAGUACGGUAGAGGGCGGUGGAAUUUCCGGUGUAGCGGUGAAAUGCGUAGAUAUCGGAAGGAACACCAAUGGCGAAGGCAGCCGCCUGGGCCUGUACUGACACUGAGACACGAAAGCGUGGGGAUCAA